GGAUUCGGGGGGCUAGGGCGAGUCAAGUGCUCAGGUCGGUCGGGCUGGCCUCAGAAGGUGCUCUCUGCUCCUCAUCAUCAUGUGAACUCUUGUGUUCCCGUCAGAACCUCUCCCCCCUCCCGCAGUGCGUCCCGUGUAAUGCAUGCAGACCCGAGGGGAACCCAACGGCCCUGGGCCCCAGCGGAGAGUGGUGGAAUACAAACUACCCAGACUCUCACAGCAGGGCCGCUGGAAAUACGGCAUUAAAUGACCUCCCGGCGUUUAAAAACCGCCUUCGCAGAAUUGAAUACUACUUGGCUGCCAGUGAAAACUCAAUUUGUAUUCAUUUAUACAAGCGAGCACAUCUACAUAGCGCGGCUCCAAGCGAUCUCCCGGCAGCGGGAACCUCCUCCCGCUAAACGGGAAUUAGAAAUGUGCAACAAAGAGGGAGAUAAAUGCACUUCAGUCCCUGAUAAACGCACUUCAGUCCCUGAUAGAGUUCACUACACACAAGCACACAAUACACCACACACAAGCUUGCGAUACACUGCACACAGCCACACAAUACCCAACCACGGAAUUCAUUACAACAAGCAGCUGUGACCCGUUGCCCUGUUGUGUUUAAUUUGAAACCGAUGACAUCACAUCCGAGUCAUGGCUCCCCCUGUGGACACGGGAAGCAUCGGGAAUGCAUUCUGGGACAUACCAACACUUUUCCCAAAUUCCGUGCAGAACAUCGCCCCCUCUGGUGUCGGUGGCGACACGUGGGACUGCAGAAUGCGCAUGCGCCCACCAGUCUGUGAAUGCUCGGCAUGUUUCAAACACCAGCAGAGAAACCGUUUGAAACGCAUGAAAUGAAAUUGUGUCGCAUCGCCUCAAACACAAAGCAUAGAAGGAGAUCCCACGCCAACCUAUACUCUGUCUGUCUUCAAGCCCCUGCUGCAUCUGGUCCGAGGUCAGUCCUAGGUCAGCAUCAGGCCCUAGUUUCAGCUUCUGGCCAUAGAUCAGAAUCUGGUCCUUGUUCUAGACUGAACUGUAUUUGUGUCUGUUUAAUUGCUUUUAUUCUUCUUUUUGUUCACUGACCAAUAUAAAAACAGGGAGGGAGGGAGGGAGGAAGAAUUUCAACGAUAUGUCAAUAAUGUCGUUCAUUACUGUCACUUGUAAAUUUCCAAUGUUCACUUCUGGGGUUCUGCUUUUCCAUCCACCUCUUCAAAUGUUCAUGCGUCUGGGAUACUGGGCCCGAACAGUGGGCUACCAGUGACAUACCAGUAACAUACCACUAGCUGAUGAUAGACGGACUCUCAGGUUGUAGUCAGUCAGUAGUUCUGUCUUUUAUCAAGGUUCCCCUGAUGUGCUCUGAGGAACGGGUCUAGAGAAGACUCGGGUGUAGAGAAGAGCUCAUUUCAUGGAGGUUUACGGAUUCACAGCCAAAGGGGGGAACUAACCCAGAGAUGAGCCUGUUCCUGGGGGUGAGGUGAGAUUGCGGCGGAGGAGAAUACAGAGGUUUUGAUAAGGUGGUCUGAUGGACGCGGCUGCAUGCGGCCGUCAAGACUUACGAGAAAAGGAAUCGUCUGUUUUUCAAAAGCUGAAGUCAGGAGAUAUCUUUUUAUAUUUUUUUAAGCCCUACCGUUUCGUAAGAGCGGUGUUUUCCACACCAGCCGUUACACUGAGUUGCAGGAACAUUUAUCCAGUCACAAUUGAACAUCUUUCAACGACAAAUGUGAUGUGUACUGGUUUUCAGCCCCGCCUCCGGACCAUUCCCAGUAGAGCUGAACCAACACUAGAAACCACCGCAAUGUCAACUGGGAUCAGAACUUGUGCUUUAGUUUCCUUUACAAUUUGUGGAUUAUUUUACUUUUUCUUUUUUUUUUUACAGAUGAAGUCACUUCUUGUAUAAAUGUAAAGCAAAUAAACAAUAUUCAGGAAUCAUACCCUUCAAACACCGCAGCGAAUCAAAGCAGGACUUGCAACUUCCUCAACAACUCUGGGUUAAGUAACACACAUCGGAAUCCUUCCGAAUAAUCGACUGUGAUCUUCUGUGUUCCACCACCCACACCUCCCUCACAACGCUCUCCUCCUCUCUGGAGCUACACCUCCAUCCCCCCCCCCCCCGCCUUACCCUGUGCUCCUCAGUCAUUUGUCUAGUGGGUGGUGUGAUGUCUGGUUUCAGUUUCUGUGUUCUGUGGGGUGGGCUUCUCACAACGGGUCCUGACAAUCAGCGUGUUUGUAAAUGUCAUAAGAAUUGUGGGAUUUUCAAAUCUUUGUUCAUGGUCAGGAUUUUAAAGGAAGAUAUUUUUAUGGUAAUUGUCGCUGGUCUAUUUUACUAUAUAUUUAUGUAAUAAAUAUGUGACUAAAUUUAUAUUUGAAUGUCUUGUUGGUCUGAUAUUGCUUUUGGACAAGCUUCUGCUUUGUGUAGGGCUCCUCCUGGAAACUUUCAAUUAAUUCGAUAAUAAAUUACCUCACUAAAUCAA
ensembl:lncRNA